AUUGAACGCUGGCGGCAGGCCUAACACAUGCAAGUCGAACGAGUGGCGGACGGUUGAGUAAUGUCUGGGAAACUGCCCGAUGGCGGGGGAUAACUACUGGAAACGGUAGCUAAUACCGCAUACCAUCGGAUGUGCCCAGAUGGGAUUAGCUAGUAGUUGGGGUAACGGCUCACCAAGGCGACGAUCCCUAGCUGGUCUGCGAGGAUAACCAGUCACACUGGAACUAAGAAAAGGUCCAGACUAAGACGGUAGGCAGCAGUGGGGAAUAGUGCACAAUGGGUGAAAGCCUGAUGAAGCCAUGCCGAGUGUAUGAAGAAGGCCUUAGGGUUGUAAAGGACUUUCAGCGAGGAGGCGUUACUCGCAGAAGAAGCACCGGCUAACUCCGUGCCAGCAGCCGCGGUAAUAC
rnacentral:rRNA from 1 species